UGGGGAAUUUUGGACAAUGGGCGAAAGCCUGAUCCAGCAAUGCCGCGUGUGUGAAGAAGGCCUUCGGGUUGUAAAGCACUUUUGUCCGGAAAGAAAUCCUUGGCUCUAAUACAGUCGGGGGAUGACGGUACCGGAAGAAUAAGCACCGGCUAACUACGUGCCAGCAGCCGCGGUAAUACGUAGGGUGCAAGCGUUAAUCGGAAUUACUGGGCGUAAAGCGUGCGCAGGCGGUUUGCUAAGACCGAUGUGAAAUCCCCGGGCUCAACCUGGGAACUGCAUUGGUGACUGGCAGGCUAGAGUAUGGCAGAGGGGGGUAGAAUUCCACGUGUAGCAGUGAAAAUGCGUAGAGAUGUGGAGGAAUACCGAUGGCGAAGGCAGCCCCCUGGGCCAAUACUGACGCUCAUGCACGAAAGCGUGGGGAGCAAACAGGAUUAGAUACCCUGGUAGUCCACGCCCUAAACGAUGUCAACUAGUUGUUGGGGAUUCAUUUCCUUAGUAACGUAGCUAACGCGUGAAGUUGACCGCCUGGGGAGUACGGUCGCAAGAUUAAAACUCAAAGGAAUUGACGGGGUCAUAGCUGUUUCCU
rnacentral:rRNA from 1 species